rnacentral:rRNA from 1 species
UAGCUAAAUGCGGAAGAGAUAAGUGCUGAAAGCAUCUAAGCACGAAACUUGCCCCGAGAUGAGUUCUCCCUGACUCCCUGAGAGUCCUGAAGGAACGUUGAAGACGACGACGUUGAUAGGCCGGGUGUGUAAGCGCAGCGAUGCGUUGAGCUAACCGGUACUAAUGAACCGUGAGGCUUAACCUU